rnacentral:rRNA from 1 species
UACAGAGGGUGCGAGCGUUGUCCGGAAUCACUGGGCGUAAAGGGCGCGUAGGUGGCGCGACAAGUCAGUGGUGAAAGCUCGACGCUCAACGUCGAGUCGGCCACUGAUACUGUUGGGCUGGAGCACUGCAGAGGCUAAUGGAAUUCCGGGUGUAGCGGUGGAAUGCGUAGAGAUCCGGAAGAACACCGGUGGCGAAGGCGGUUAGCUGGGCAGUUGCUGACACUGAGGCGCGACAGCGUGGGGAGCAAACAGG